rfam:Oryza sativa (indica cultivar-group) chromosome 8, whole genome shotgun sequence.
AAUAAACGUAGUUAUAGUUUCAGUGUUUAAUUUUAACCAUCUGUCUUAUUUGAAAUAUUUUUAUGAUUAGUAUUUUUAUUAUUGUUAGAUGAUAAAAUAUGAAUAGUAACUUAACUUUUAAAACUUUUUCAUAAAUUUUUCAAAUAAGACGGAUGGUUAAAUAUUGGGCAUAGAAAUUUUUAGCUACGCUUAUA